rnacentral:rRNA from 1 species
GACGAACGCUGGCGGCGUGCCUAACACAUGCAAGUCGAACGGAGUUCCUUCGGGGACUUAGUGGCGAACGGGUGAGUAACGCGUGAAGAACCUGCCUUUCAGUGGGGGACAACAGUUGGAAACGACUGCUAAUACCGCAUAACAUAUAUUGUGGGCAUCCACGAUAUAUCAAAGGAGCAAUCCGCUGAAAGAUGGGCUCGCGGCCGAUUAGCUAGAUGGCGGGGUAACGGCCCACCAUGGCGACGAUCAGUAGCCGGUCUGAGAGGAUGAACGGCCACAUUGGGACUGAGAUACGGCCCAGACUCCUACGGAGGCAGCAGUGGGGAAUAUUAGGCAAUGGGGGGCAACCCUGGACCUAGCAACGCCGCGUGAAGGAA